rnacentral:rRNA from 1 species
CCUACGGGAGGCAGCAGUGAGGAAUAUUGGUCAAUGGGCGGGAGCCUGAACCAGCCAAGUCGCGUGAGGGAAGAAGGUACUGAGUAUUGUAAACCUCUUUUGUCAGGGGACAAAGGCUUCCACGGGUGGGCGUUAGUGUGUACCUUGUGAAUAAGCAUCGGCUAACUCCGUGCCAGCAGCCGCGGUAAUACGGAGGAUGCGAGCGUUAUCCGGAUUUAUUGGGUUUAAAGGGUGCGCAGGCGGCGUGUAAAGUCAGUGGUAAAAUGUUGGGGCUCAACCCCGGCCGGCCGUUGAAACUGGCGUGCUCGAGUUGGAGAGAGGUAGGCGGAAUUCGUGGUGUAGCGGUGAAAUGCUUAGAUAUCACGAAGAACUCCGAUUGCGAAGGCAGCAUACCGGAU